CGACCCCAUGCGGGAGAGUCCUUUGUCGUUCGCGACCAGGGCGCCGAAGGAGCAAAUCCUCCCCGGAAUCUCUCAGGCACACGUACCGCAUGGACGAG
rfam:Streptomyces sp. 769, complete genome.